rnacentral:rRNA from 1 species
GCGGCGAACGGGUGAGUAACACGUGGGUAAUCUGCCCUGCACUCUGGGAUAAGCUUGGGAAACUGGGUCUAAUACCGGAUAUGACCGCAUGCCGCAUGGUGUGUGGUGGAAAGAUUUAUCGGUGCAGGAUGGGCCCGCGGCCUAUCAGCUUGUUGGUGGGGUAAUGGCCUACCAAGGCGACGACGGGUAGCCGACCUGAGAGGGUGACCGGCCACACUGGGACUGAGACACGGCCCAGACUCCUACGGGAGGCAGCAGUGGGGAAUAUUGCACAAUGGGCGGAAGCCUGAUGCAGCGACGCCGCGUGAGGGAUGAAGGCCUUCGGGUUGUAAACCUCUUUCAGCAGGGACGAAGCGUGAGUGACGGUACCUGCAGAAGAAGCACCGGCUAACUACGUGCCAGCAGCCGCGGUAAUACGUAGGGUGCGAGCGUUGUCCGGAAUUACUGGGCGUAAAGAGUUCGUAGGCGGUUUGUCGCGUCGUUUGUGAAAACCCGGGGCUCAACUUCGGGCUUGCAGGCGAUACGGGCAGACUUGAGUGUUUCAGGGGAGACUGGAAUUCCUGGUGUAGCGGUGAAAU